UGGGGGAUUUUGGACAAUGGGGGCAACCCUGAUCCAGCCAUGCCGCGUGCGGGAAGAAGGCCUUCGGGUUGUACACCGCUUUUGUCAGGGAAGAAACGCUCUGAGCUAAUACCUCGGAGUAAUGACGGUACCUGAAGAAUAAGCACCGGCUAACUACGUGCCAGCAGCCGCGGUAAUACGUAGGGUGCAAGCGUUAAUCGGAAUUACUGGGCGUAAAGCGUGCGCAGGCGGUGAUGUAAGACAGAUGUGAAAUCCCCGGGCUCAACCUGGGAACUGCAUUUGUGACUGCAAGGCUAGAGUACGGUAGAGGGGGAUGGAAUUCCGCGUGUAGCAGUGAAAUGCGUAGAUAUGCGGAGGAACACCGAUGGCGAAGGCAAUCCCCUGGACCUGUACUGACGCUCAUGCACGAAAGCGUGGGGAGCAAACA
rnacentral:rRNA from 1 species